GAUGAACGCUGGCGGCGUGCCUAAUACAUGCAAGUCGAGCGAACGGACGAGAAGCUUGCUUCUCUGAUGUUAGCGGCGGACGGGUGAGUAACACGUGGAUAACCUACCUAUAAGACUGGGAUAACUUCGGGAAACCGGAGCUAAUACCGGAUGAUAUUUUGAACCGCAUGGUUCAAAAGUGAAAGACGGUCUUGCUGUCACUUAUAGAUGGAUCCGCGCUGCAUUAGCUAGUUGGUAAGGUAGCGGCUUACCAAGGCAACGAUGCAUAGCCGACCUGAGAGGGUGAUCGGCCACACUGGAACUGAGACACGGUCCAGACUCCUACGGGAGGCAGCAGUAGGGAAUCUUCCGCAAUGGGCGAAAGCCUGACGGAGCAACGCCGCGUGAGUGAUGAAGGUCUUCGGAUCGUAAAACUCUGUUAUUAGGGAAGAACAUAUGUGUAAGUAACUGUGCACAUCUUGACGGUGCCUAAUCAGAAAGCCACGGCUAACUACGUG
rnacentral:rRNA from 1 species